rnacentral:misc_RNA from 1 species
GAGAAACUUCAUUUUAUUUCAUAUAUCCUCCUUAAAUACCAUCCUUGUAAUAGGCAACUUAAAGAACAUAGGUCAUAAAACAUGGAAAUGACCAUUGCUUUUUUAAAAAGGUUUACAACCAAAUCAAAAACCAAAUGCCCUUCUUCACCAGUAAAGCCUCCAAUAUCUCAAAUAUAAAAGCUAAAAUACUAUAAGUAGCUGCCCGCAAUUCCAUUCAUCUAGUAGCAUUCGUUGAUAUCAAAAUAAUUUCUUGAAAGAGCCAGAGAAGCGUUUGAUGCAUUUCAAUCCACCUUCUUCUACUACAGAGCUUCCAAUAAUUAUGAUAUACCUUGUAGAACAGCAGUGUGGUUAACUACUUUGCUCAAAGAAUCUGAAUCUUUGCAGUAAUAGGUAUUUCAAGAUCGAGACAAAACCCCUUUUGAGCUGGGGACACUUCCACCACGACGCAAGUCAUAUUCAGUUGCUUGCCGAAGA